CACGUAGGCGGCUUUGCAAGUUAGAGGUGAAAGCCCGGGGCUCAACCCCGGAAUUGCCUUUAAAACUGCAUCGCUUGAGUUGUGGAGAGGUAAGUGGAAUUCCGAGUGUAGAGGUGAAAUUCGUAGAUAUUCGGAAGAACACCAGUGGCGAAGGCGACUUACUGGACACAUACUGACGCUGAGGUGCGAAAGCGUGGGGAGCAAACA
rnacentral:rRNA from 1 species